GCAAUUCUAUACAGUGGAUUGAUCAUAUCAAAUUUUCAUUUGAUGUGCAUGAAGAUGAGUAACAGAAAUUUGGGUUCAAUUGCAACAUAUCCAUUCACUCCACCUUCUGCUUGCAUAUUUAACAAUGUUGCAUGCACAUCAAAUCAUCUUACAAACAUAAACUGUUCUCACUUUCUGUAUAAUUUCCUUUUUGUCAUAUAAAAUUCAAAAAGAGAUGGGGUUNNNNNNNNNUUUCACUUCUGACUCGGACUCAGACACAUACCACGAGCUGUUUCCUGCACUUCUAGAGUGCUUCUCUUUCUUCCUCACUUUACGUUUCCUUCUUGACUUCAUUACAUAGUAAGUCAUUGCACCAAGACCCCCUGCCAUUAUGACUCCUCCGAUAACAGUAACAAGAAUUGCAGCCCACUGGUGAUGCCGACCAACCACUAUAUAAGAUGAUGAAAUAAAUGCCACAGAAGUGCAAACAGAGGCCAACCACAUUAACUUAUUGAUCACUUCUACAACCCGCCUUUCUGAUUUUGUCUCCCCUCUUACAAUUGUGAUUUGUACCACCACAACAGCCAGGGAUGUGAAGAGAGCAAUAGCAUUAAAGACGAAGAAUAUCUUAAAUGAU
rnacentral:misc_RNA from 1 species